GUCAGUGACCUGCAUUCUUCUGUGUGUCUUUAAACCAGAGCAGGGCCAAGCCCUCAACCAGCCAGGAGCCUGGAGAAAGAUAACAGGGUGUGAGGCGGUCUGUAAAGCCCAGGGCCUUGCAGCCAGCAGGGAGAGAGGGGCCAGGUGGCUUCAGGGCCCUUUGGGAGCCUGCCCUUUGUCCGGGGCUGUGGCCUUGGUAUGCACCCAGCCUGGUCUCUGCUGCCAGACACCGUGUUCAUUGGUAGAAUGUAGAACUGGUCAGACAGUGAUCCCUAAGGCCAGCUCACCUGACCUUCCACCCCAGUUAUCGGUCCGUUUGACCUGAGACUCAGGAUGAAAUGAUUGAACUGCUGGCUGUGGUAUGUGCAGGUAACAUUUACGCUCACAUCUGCAAGCUGUCGUGCAGACUUGGAGGGGAAGCCACCCAAGGCACAGAGCAGGGCAUCUGUAUUCUUCAUCCGUAUGAAGAAGCGAGGAAGUGUGAAAGUUAAUUUUCUUGAGCAGCCAUGCCAACGUUGUGCAGGCAUCACAGAGGGUUUGAGGAUUUAGAAAUCGUUAAUGAAUAAUCACUUUAAAAACCAUUUUCUACUGAAAAGAGGCACUGCAUGGCCCCUCUCCUCAGCUCUGCCCGGCUCCAUCAUUCCAGUUAUCUUUAUCUGUACCUUGCUCUCUGAUGUCCACUUGCAGUCUUAGGCCAGCUGCCAAAUGUCACUGCUCUGGGCCAUUGAUUGAGAUUUAGGGGAAAAAUUAAAGGACAUGUGAAGAAAGAACCAGAUACAAGGAAGCAGGAAGUGCUCUCAACGCUGCAAGGUCACCGAUUCAGAAAGCAGAGGAUAGAAGUGGGGAAUGAAAAAAAGAAUGGCAUCCAGGAAAGAGAUUUUGGUGCCAACCACUGGACAUCUGUGUGUUCUUUGCUCUUUGUCUCUUUGGGGCAGCUGCUGGGGGUGGGUACAAGGUGUGCAGGGGCUUUGGGCUGUGUGCACAGACAUUUGUUGACAAUAGACCGGUUUCAGUUUGGUUUGAAACUAUUAAAAUUUUAUUUUUAUUGGUGUCUCAGAAAGGCAGUGAUUGUUCUGUUCCCCUGGCACAUCUAUCCCAGAGGCAGGUUGUAACUUGUCCUGUUUGCCCAAGCCUUAGUAGAGUCCCCAGGGAAGGGACAGUCAGAUAGUGUCAAUUUGAAAGCAAAUGUGUCUCCUGAUCAAAAGAAACCCACUGAGGUGGAGGCUUGUCACCUUCUUCCCCUCCAUCUUCCAGCUCUUGUG